CAGCCGCCACGGUAAUAUGGAGGGUGCAAGCGUUACUCGGAAUUACUGGGCGUAAAGCGUGCGUAGGUGGUUCGUUAAGUCUGAUGUGAAAGCCCUGGGCUCAACCUGGGAAUUGCAUUGGAUACUGGCGAGCUAGAGUGCGGUAGAGGGUAGUGGAAUUCCCGGUGUAGCAGUGAAAUGCGUAGAGAUCGGGAGGAACAUCUGUGGCGAAGGCGACUGCCUGGACCAGCACUGACACUGAGGCACGAAAGCGUGGGGAGCGAACAGGAUUAGAUACCCCUGUAGUCCCUGUCUCUUAUAC
rnacentral:rRNA from 1 species